rnacentral:rRNA from 1 species
CUACGGGGCGCAGCAGUGGGGAAUAUUGCACAAUGGGCGCAAGCCUGAUGCAGCAAUGCCGCGUGUAUGAAGAAGGCCUUCGGGUUGUAAAGUACUUUCAGCGGGGAGGAAGGGAGUAAAGUUAAUACCUUUGCUCAUUGACGUUACCCGCAGAAGCAGCACCGGCUAACUCCGUGCCAGCAGCCGCGGUAAUACGGAGGGUGUCAAGCGUUAAUCGGAAUUACUGGGCGUAAAGGGCACGCAGGCGGGUUGUUAAGUCAGAUGUGAAAUCCCCGGGCUCAACCUGGGAACUGCAUCUGAUACUGGCAAGCUUGAGUCUCGUAGAGGGGGGUAGAAUUCCAGGUGUAGCGGUGAAAUGCGUAGAGAUCUGGAGGAAUACCGGUGGCGAAGGCGGCCCCCUGGACGAAGACUGACGCUCAGGUGCGAAAGCGUGGGGAGCAAACAGGAUUAGAUACCCUAGUAGUC